CUCCUACGGGAGGCAGCAGUGGGGAAUUUUGGACAAUGGGGGAAACCCUGAUCCAACCAUGCCGCGUGAGUGAAGAAGGCCUUCGGGUUGUAAAGCUCUUUCAGCCGGAAAGAAAUCGCACUGGUUAAUACCUUGUGUGGAUGACGGUACCGGAAGAAGAAGCACCGGCUAACUACGUGCCAGCAGCCGCGGUAAUACGUAGGGUGCGAGCGUUAAUCGGAAUUACUGGGCGUAAAGCGUGCGCAGGCGGUUUUGUAAGACAGAUGUGAAAUCCCCGGGCUUAACCUGGGAACUGCAUUUGUGACUGCAAGGCUAGAGUACGGCAGAGGGGGGUAGAAUUCCACGUGUAGCAGUGAAAUGCGUAGAUAUGUGGAGGAAUACCGAUGGCGAAGGCAGCCCCCUGGGUCGAUACUGACGCUCAUGCACGAAAGCGUGGGGAGCAAACAGGAUUAGAUACCCUGGUAGUCCACGCCCUAAACGAUGUCAACUGGUUGUUGGGGGAUUUAUUCUCUUAGUAACGAAGCUAACGCGUGAAGUUGACCGCCUGGGGAGUACGGUCGCAAGAUUAAAACUCAAAGGAAUUGACGG
rnacentral:rRNA from 1 species